rnacentral:tRNA from 1 species
UCCCAAGUAGCUCAGUGGUAGAGCAGUCGGCUGUUAACCGACUGGUCGGGGGUUCAAGUCCCUCCUUGGGAG